AGCCGUGUCCGGUAAGGAAUCGGUUGGCGCCAGCCGCCAGGCCUCCCCCACCGCCUCUGCCCCGACUACAAAAGGCGCCCCAGGUGCGCCCUCUCCUCCCCGCGCUCUGGCCUCCUUUGAGCUUUCGUUCGGGCCGCGCCUCUGCUCUCGCCCAAGUCGCCUCAUCGCGUCUCCGCGAUUGUUCCCUUUCCUUUCUCUCGUCGUCUCGAUUCGUUUCGAAUCCCUCGUCGCCUCUGCUCCCUGUGCUCGCAGGGAAUUCGGCCCGUCUCGUCCGCCUCCGGGGAGCGAUCGACCGGGGAUUCCGUCGAGCCGUUCGGUUUUGCUUCUGCGGCUGAUUUGGUUUCGGGCGACCCCAGGGCCGGAGCAAGGUCAGUUUCUCGUGCUCGGUCCGAUCGGUUCCUUGGUCCCGUCACCUGCCUGCGCUCGUCUCGUCGGUGGUUUCAGAUUUGAAUUGAAUUGAAGGGCCUUCCGGUUCCAUGUCCCCGAUCGAGCGCCCUCGUCGUGAUGUUAAUACGAGGUGAAUUCGAGACCCUCGUGGAUUCUUGCUGUGCCGGCUGAUCUAGCUUUUGCUGUAUGUGCUCUGCUCUCAUCCUAGAUGCAGAACCAAUUGAGCGGGCGCUAGUUCUGGUCAGACGAUAUAGAUGAAGGGGCGAGGUUUGACUUCUGUUCAUGGUUAUUCUGAUUGAUUGGUUACAGUCCAACGGUUAUUCUGAUAUGGUCAGAUUUUCUCGGAUGAUCAAGCUUUCUAUCUCUUAUCAAGCUAUAUAGGAUGGAAUACACGAUCUGCGUUUGGAUAAUAUGUCAAUCCCUCCUAAUUUAGUUUCUUGGUUUGCACUGUAAGGUACAAAUUCUGAUUUGGAUAUUUUGCUGGCUGUCCAGAAAUUGGGAUUACAGUGCCUAACGGGAGCCACUCGUCUUCUUGCUGACCUGCGUUUGCAUGAUCACUCUCUGCUCAAUUUGUUCUUCUGCACAAUUCAAUUAUUCUCCCAACAACUCUGAUUUUGAUAUGCUGCUGGCUCUCCAGAAACUGGAAUUACAUAGCCUAGCGGCGGGUGGUCCUAUUUUGGCUCUCCAUGGCGUUUCUUCUUAUGGGGAUCAACUUUCUGGACCUUUCUUAUUGAAAUAAUUAUAUUUCAGCAAACAUUAGUUUCCCUGCCUUAGUCAUUCUCAGCUCUUGCAGAUGGUGCCUUGCAAGGGAUAUAAUUGGAGCUUGUGUUGUCUACCUGACCUGAUGAGUUUGCGGUUCUUCUGAAUCUAUCUUCUCAAUUCCUUAACUUAGAUAAUAGUACUAAGAUUUCUUACUAGGCAAUAUUUCAAAUUCAGAUUUAGCUGCAAAGGUGCAAGAAUGAAGCUUCAAACUAGUGGCGUAUCCUACAACCGGAAAAAACUUAAUCUCUUAUCCUCUUAUUUUUAUUUAAUACAGCUACAUGUUCUUGUCUUUGAUUUAGGUUUUUUGCUUCUGCCCUCCAUGUCGUUGCAGAUUUGUUUUGGCCUCAGACAAUGCUGGUAGUGAGCCUGAAUCUGUUAAAAUUCGUCUGGUUUGCCAUCUACUAUCUCUUUGUGGUUUGAUUGGUUAUCUGUACUCUUGAUCCCUGCGUUAGUCUUCCUGCCCAUUGCUAUCUGAUAUAUUUAGGAAGCCGGGGACUACAUGCAAACAUGUGCUUUGUACGUGUCACGGUGUCAGGUCAGUGUCUUGACUGUUGGUUCAUUUGUGUUUGCUUCCAUGCGUUGGUUGCAGGACUGGAUCUGGUAUGUGGAGAUCCCUGGGGUGUUGUAUGUCGAAGGGGAUUUGAGGCAGGUAGAUUUGAAUGGCUGUCGUUCGUGUGGUCUUCUGGUUCUCACUUCUGGUUCUCACCGGAGGACAUGUUUUGGUGUUCUAACUGAAGUUUUGGGUUGCUCAUCAACCUGGAACUUGUGAUCCGUGUUUGGAUGAUCUCAAAUUCUCGAUCACUCUGACUUAACUUCUUCAUAUUCAUUUUCAUAGUAAAAUAAUUUACUCUCCAGAGGUUCUGAUUUGGAUUAUCAUUGAUGGAUCUCCAGAAAUUUGGAUUUGGCUUAGCGGCGGGGCUGGUCUUCUUCCGAUCACUUUGACUUAACUUCUUCAUAUUCAUUUACAUAGUAAAAUAAUUUACUCUCUAGAGGUUCUGAUUUGGAUUAUCAUUGAUGGAUCUCCAGAAAUCUGGAUUUGGCUUAGCGACGGGGGUGGUCUUCUUCUUGCUGAUCUGCUUUGGAAUCAUUGCUUCCUCCAUUUCAUUUAUUUCUCUCCAUAGCUCACCUUUAGUCUACGACAAUCCUGAUUUGCAUUUGUUGGUGGUUCUUCAGAAAUUGGGUUAUAUGGCUUAGCGGGAGCACCUAUUGUCUUGGUGGUCUACAUUGGAUGAUCGUUACCUUCUCAGAUUAAUUUCUUCUUCUCCAGAGUUCAAUUAGUCUCCCAACAAAUUCUGAUUGUGAUCUGUUGAUGGUUUUCCAGAAAUUGGAAUUGCGGGCGGUCCUAUUUUGCCUCAGCAUGGCAGUUCCUUUUGUGGCUCAAACUUUUUCAACCUUCCUUAUUGAACUGUAAUGACAUUAGGUUUUAUCUGCCUUAGUCGGUAAUUCUCAGCUCUUGCAGAUACUUGACAUGGAAAGGAUAUAACUGCAGUUUCGGACUGGUGUUGUUGUUGUCCGUCAACCAUAGCUGAACUUCCUAUCGGAGACAGGCUUAUUUGUUCCUGCCCAUCGUUUGAUCAAUGCUUUAACAUUUCCCCCUAACUGAAAAUUUACAGAAAGGUCUCUUGCUCAUUGCAGGUUGUAGUUGGCAAACUCAAGCCCAACCUGAUGAUGAAUCUGUUUGCAAAUCUUCUAAAUCCACUAGUAUUGUUUCAAUUCAUUUUAACUUAAGUAAAACUACAAAUUAUCUUACUAGGCAAUAUUUUAUAAUACAGAUUCAUAUGCAUAAAUCUAAGGAUAAUCCGAAGUUUUUGACCAAUGGCACAUCCUACAACCGAAAAUAACUCUUGCCAUCCUUCUUUUAAUUUCAUUUAGCUGCUUGGCCAUGUCUUUGAUAUAGGUUUUUGCUCCUGCCCUUCCUGUGGUUGCAGAUUUGUUUUAGCCGAGGUCAUUUGGGUAAUGACGCGGAAUCUGUGUUAAUAUUUUGGUUUGCGAUCUAGCUCUUCGUCGUUAUCUUUAACUCUUUAUCCCUAUGUUCUAUUGGUCUUCUGCAAGUGUGGGUUGCAGGAUAUAAUAGUUAGGAGUUUGUGCCCAAACCUUCAUUUGUUAGCGCCACCUCCGUGAGUUCGCUUGCAGGACUGGAUCUGGAUCUGGUUUGGACAGGAAACUCCCUAUGGUGUAUAACAGUAUAGGAAGGAGGCUUGAGGCAGGUCAGUUUCCCAUGUUCGGUCACAUUGGUUUACUGGAUCCCUCAUCUGUGCUCGGUGAUGGAAGAUUUGAGUGGCUAUACCUUGAGUUCUUCUGUCUUUGUCUGAUGGCUCAUCAGUACCGUUGUCCCUCAAUACGAGUACAGCUGAUCUCGCUUGUGGUAUGCGUUUGUGCUCCUUGAGAUGCAGGAUGUUGUGGAGUGAUGAAUCAAAGGAUCGAGGUUUGCCUUACUGUUCAUGGUUAUUUUGAUUGGUUAUGGCUCAGUGGAUGGUUAUAAGCUAGGAUCUUAUGUGCUGAUGUUUCCCUUAUGGAUUGAAGUUGUGGAUUGGAUAGUUAAACAUGGGAUGGGAUCAGAGAAUUUGUGAACAGUGCUCGGAUAAUCAAUCCUCCUUGAUUUAGUUUCUUUGUUUGCACAGUCAAAUUUAGCUUACAACAUCUCUGAUAUAGAUUGUUGGUUCUGGGGACUUUCCGGAAGGUGCUCUGUUUUGUUUCACCAUGUUACAGGCGGUUUCUUCUGUUGACUUCAAUAUUUCCUGAUUUGUUUUGAACAUUAUACUUCCUAUGGUUUUCUCUGCCCUUGGUAACUAUGUGUCCUUGCAGAUAUUGACAUGGAUGAGAGAUAAUAUAGUUCGCUAUCUGGAACUGGUGUCGUUGCCUAACUGAUCUCUCCCAGCCAAGCAGGCUUAUCCUAGCCCCUAACUGUUUUUGAUGCAUUAUUUAGCUGUUUAAUGGGAAGGUGGCUGCAGGUCCUAAUUGACUUAUUUAGGUCCACCCUGAUGUGGAGUUAUCUGUUUGAAGAUCUUCUAAACCCUACACCUUUCCAAUUCAUUGCAAUUUGUUCAACAUAUAAAUUAUCUUAUGGAGACAAUUUGAACAUUCAGAUUUAUUUGGUGGAUCUUUAAGAUUCGAAGGUUGCUCUGGGGCUUCAGUCUUGAUGGGACAUCCUACAACCGAAAAAACCUCUCUACAACCGAAAAAUUAUCUUAUGCUGAGUUAUCUCCUGAAGAAACUUGUGUUGUCUUGGUUUCCUUUUGCUUGUAGCAUUGAUUGUGGUUUUUUGCUUCCGCCUUCCUGUGGUUGCAGAUCAAGCCAUGCUGGUAGCCAUUCAAAAUAUGUUACCUUUGUGGUUUCUCAUCCUCUCUGGUUUACUUUGUUAUCUGUACUCCCCAUCCAUGUGUUUCUGUUGAUCUGUUGGCAUGCUGGAUUUGUUCUUUGCAGUAUAUGUUGGAAUUGGUGGGUGUGCCCUGUAGAGUCAGGUGAAUUUUAUCUCGUUCAUGGCAUGCGCAUUUGUUCCUUUAGAUACAAGACAGUGGAGAUUGUAUUGAAGGCUAGAGGUUUGGGUGAUUUAUGGCUGUUCUUUAGCUCCUCGGAUGAUAUCUUAAGUUUGGGAUUGGAAUUGUUGGUCAUGCCUGCAUGGUUGAGGAUUCAUAAGUGUCUUGAGGCGUGACUGGACUGUUUUGGAUAUAUUCUCCUCCUAUUUUGUUUCUCCAUGUGAGCAGUUUGGUUUCUGUUCUGAGUAUUAUUUGGAUUUUUGGUUGUUCUAUUUGAGCGUAGGCUUGCCAGGACUACUUUUUGGCUCAAUAGUUGGAAUGGGGCAGAGCUCUAGGAGAUUCUUCGUGAUUUGAUCUUGUCAAACUUCUCUCUGUUAGCUUUUAACAUUCCAAACAUUGUUCUUUCUUGUCAGUAACUCUUAGUUCUAUGCAGAUGUGGCAUACAAUGAGGAUAAUUCAGAUCAGCGUGCAUAACUUCCCUAAACCAGGCUUAUCCCUAUCUCCCUUUCUAUACUUGUUCACAUGUUUUUGAUGUUGAACAACUUUCUCCAAAAUGGUUAGGCAUCAUGGUCUCUUGUUCAUUGCAGGUGUACUUGACAAUUUUACGAAAGAAAUCCGAUGUCAUGCUGUGUGAAAAUUUGCUUGGAGACCUUCUGAUUUCACAUUUUUCUAUUUAGUUAGCUAGAAAACCAAUUAGCUGUCAAGUCUGAGUAUUCAAACUAAUCCGCAGAGGUGAAGAGUUCUAAAAGCUUGUUUGGGAGCUUCUUUUUGGAUAGAGGACUAAUUUGAACUAAAACCACGAUACUUAUUUUGGGACAGAGGAUAUAUGCUCCAUCCUUGUUUUGACUCAUUGUCCAGUUCUAAUUUUCCUUGAAGAAACUUUUAAGUAUGCCGGCGUACCUUUUGCGUCAGCGAGGAAAUGGGGACAACGGCUUAAGCCAUUAGGUGGGCUGUUCAUUGAUAGGCACUGUUGGAGGUUUUAUUGGAAGAUUGUUGAGUUGGAAAGUCUAGCAAAACGUCAGUUGGUGGGGGUACUCGGUGAAGCAAAUGGAUUAAUCCUGAUCCUGAAGCAUACUACUUGAUUUGGUCUUUGUGGCAGCUUUCAGUUUGAACUUGCAUUCAGUGGUAGUCUGGAGUUAGUAGUGUGCACAUCUGAUUCUUCCAACCGUCCUGAAGCAUCUUACUUGGUUUCUGUUCUGUGCCAUCGGUAUCUGCUUCAACUUGCAUGUGGUUUAUAAUAUGAUCUCAUCUUUUGCUCCGAAUCAAGAAAAUGCUAGAAGUAAUGAUGCCUUAACUGGAAGUUCCUUUAGUCUCAAACAACGGUCCAACAAUGGAAAUAUCAGUUCAUACUUGUAUAGGAGAUUAAUCAAAUUUUCAUUUGGCUAUUAAUUGCCAUACUGUUUCCGGAAGCUGGGUUUUAAUAGGCUGCUUGUAUCUAAUUUUAUAUCUAGCAGCAAUAUCUUAGCUGCAAAUUUAUAUCAAUGUACAUGAGCUCUGUAUAUGCAGUAAAAUAUCUCCAUAUAUUUGAUUGCUUUGGGACA